rnacentral:rRNA from 1 species
UACGAAGGGGGCUAGCGUUGUUCGGAAUUACUGGGCGUAAAGGGCGUGUAGGCGGCCCGUUAAGACAGGUGUGAAAUUCCUGGGCUCAACCCAGGACGUGCGCCUGUGGCUGGCGGGCUUGAGUCCGGGAGAGGAUGGUGGAACUCCCAGUGUAGAGGUGAAAUUCGUAGAUAUUGGGAAGAACACCCGUGGCGAAGGCGGCCAUCUGGACCGGUACUGACGCUAAGGCGCGACAGCGUGGGGAGCAAACAGG